AGAGUUUGAUUAUGGCUCAGGAUGAACGCUGGCGGCGUGCUCAACACAUGCAAGUCGAACGAGGUCCAACCUUCGGGUGAAGACCGAGUGGCGAACGGGUGAGUAACACGUGGGGAACCUGCCCUUCUCUCUGGGAUAACCUCGGGAAACCGAAGCUAAUACCGGAUACUCCUUGCGGACCGCAUGGUCUGCUCGGGAAAGCUCCGGCGGAGAAGGAUGGCCCCGCGGCCCAUUAGCUUGUUGGUGGGGUAGCGGCCCACCAAGGCGACGAUGGGUAGCCGAGCUGAGAGGCUGAUCGGCCACACUGGGACUGAGACACGGCCCAGACUCCUACGGGAGGCAGCAGUGGGGAAUCUUGCGCAAUGGGCGAAAGCCUGACGCAGCAACGCCGCGUGCGGGAUGAAGGCUCUCGGGUCGUAAACCGCUUUCAGCAGGGAUGAAAAUGACAGUACCUGCAGAAGAAGCCCCGGCUAAAUACGUGCCAGCAGCCGCGGUAAUACGUAUGGGGCAAGCGUUAUCCGGAUUCAUUGGGCGUAAAGCGCGCGUAGGCGGCUUGUUAAGUCAGGCGUGAAAUCCGGGGGCUCAACCCGCGGCUUGCGUCUGAAACUGGCAGGCUUGAGUCUGGUAGAGGAAAGUGGAAUUCCUGGUGUAGCGGUGAAAUGCGCAGAUAUCACGAGGAACACCAGUGGCGAAGGCGGCUUUCUGGGCCACGACUGACGCUGAGGCGCGAAAGCUAGGGGAGCGAACAGGAUUAGAUACCCUGGUAGUC
rnacentral:rRNA from 1 species